rnacentral:rRNA from 1 species
GUCCUUUUGAAUUUUAUAGAAGGUCUGACCUGCCCAGUGAUAAUUUUAACGGCCGCGGUAUACUGACCGUGCAAAGGUAGCAUAAUCAUUAGUCUUUUAAUAGAGGGCUGGAAUGAAAGGUUUAACGAGGAAUUGACUGUCUCAUUUUAUUUGUUUUAGAAUUUAAUUUUUUAGUCAAAAAGCUAAAAUCUUAUUGGAAGACGAGAAGACCCUAUAGAUCUUUAUAAAACUUUAUUUAAUUAUUUUUAUAUCAAUUUAUUUAAAUAACUUUUUAUUUUGUUGGGGUGACAAAAAUAUAUGUAUAACUUUUUUAUUUAUUUAACAUUAAUUUAUGAUUAUUAGAUCCAUUAUUAGUGAUUGAUAGACUAAGUUACCUUAGGGAUAACAGCGUAAUCCUCCUCCAGAGUUCAUAUUUACAGGAUGGGCUUGCGACCUCGAUGUUGGAUUAAGAUGAUAAUUAGGUGUAGCCGCUUAAUUUAUAGGUCUGUUCGACCUUUAAACUCUU